GACGAACGCUGGCGGCGUGCUUAACACAUGCAAGUCGAACGGAAAGGCCCUGCUUUUGUGGGGUGCUCGAGUGGCGAACGGGUGAGUAACACGUGAGUAACCUGCCCUUGACUUUGGGAUAACUUCAGGAAACUGGGGCUAAUACCGGAUAGGAGCUCCUGCUGCAUGGUGGGGGUUGGAAAGUUUCGGCGGUUGGGGAUGGACUCGCGGCUUAUCAGCUUGUUGGUGGGGUAGUGGCUUACCAAGGCUUUGACGGGUAGCCGGCCUGAGAGGGUGACCGGCCACAUUGGGACUGAGAUACGGCCCAGACUCCUACGGGAGGCAGCAGUGGGGAAUAUUGCACAAUGGGCGGAAGCCUGAUGCAGCAACGCCGCGUGCGGGAUGACGGCCUUCUGGUUGUAAACCGCUUUCGCCUGUGACGAAGCGUGAGUGACGGUAAUGGGUAAAGAGGCACCGGCUAACUACGUG
rnacentral:rRNA from 1 species